UGCAGCGUAGCUCCGCGGCAGAGCGCGGCGCUCAUAACACCUUGGUUGCUGGUUCGACCCCAGGCGCUGCAACCA
rnacentral:tRNA from 1 species